AGCAGUCGCCACGGUAAUACGGAGGGUGCAAGCGUUAUCCGGAUUUAUUGGGUUUAAAGGGUCCGUAGGCGGAUCUGUAAGUCAGUGGUGAAAUCUCACAGCUUAACUGUGAAACUGCCAUUGAUACUGCAGGUCUUGAGUAAAUUUGAAGUGGCUGGAAUAAGUAGUGUAGCGGUGAAAUGCAUAGAUAUUACUUAGAACACCAAUUGCGAAGGCAGGUCACUAAGAUUUAACUGACGCUGAUGGACGAAAGCGUGGGGAGCGAACAGGAUUAGAUACCCGUGUAGUCCCUGUCUCUUAUAC
rnacentral:rRNA from 1 species